AUGCUCUCUUCGGCAGCACAUAUACUAAAAUUGGAACAAAACAGAGAAGAUUAGCAUGGCCCCUGCACAAGGAUAAUAUGCAAAUUUAUUGUGUUUCAUAUUUAA